rfam:Leuconostoc gelidum JB7, complete genome.
GGGGUCGUUUUUGGAAUUCGACAGGUUGCUUAGGGCAUGGACUGCGUUUCGCCAUCCGGGCGUUAAAACGGGCAGACAUUUUAACUGCAAAAAACGAAAACUCUUUCGCAAUCGCUGCUUAAAAAACAGUGAAGCGUAACUUAGUCUUGGUUGCUGACAUCUGAGAUUAGGUCAUAAAAGGUCAGAUCGCAAAUAUGCUUACAUCUGGAACAUGUUUGUCAAAAUAAUCAGGUUAGUGGUGUGUAGUGGCCUUGUGUUGUGGCGUAACAUAUCAUGAAAUUUAAAUGACAAUACUAUAAGCGUAGAAGUUUAUGUACCGGGUGGUUUGGACAGGGGUUCGACUCCCCUCGACUCCAUUC